rnacentral:rRNA from 1 species
GACGAACCGUGCGAACGUUGUUCGGAAUCACUGGGCUUAAAGGGCGCGUAGGCGGUUGGUCAAGUCAGGGGUGAAAUCUUUCGGCUCAACCGGAAAACUGCCUUUGAUACUGACUAGCUGGAGGGAGAUAGGGGUUGCGGGAACUACCAGUGGAGCGGUGAAAUGCGUUGAUAUUGGUAGGAACGCCGGUGGCGAAAGCGCGCAACUGGAUCUCUUCUGACGCUGAGGCGCGAAAGCUAGGGGAGCAAACGGG